rnacentral:rRNA from 1 species
GAUCCUGGCUUAGGAUUAACGCUGGCGGCGUGCCUAAUACAUGCAAGUCGGAUGGUUAGCUUGCUAACCAUGGCGAACGGGUGAGUAACACGUAGGUAACCUGUCUUAAAGACGAGGAUAACCAUUGGAAACGAUGGAUAAUACUGGAUAGGAUAUAUAAGGGCAUCCUGAUAUAUUUAAAGAUUUAUCACUUUAUGAGGGGCCUGCGGCGCAUUAGUUAGAUGGCGGUGUAAAGGACCACCAUGACGAUGAUGCGUAGCCGGACUGAGAGGUUGUACGGCCACAAUGGGACUGAGAACGGCCCAUACUCCUACGGGAGGCAGCAGUAGGGAAUUUUCGGCAAUGGACGGAAGUCUGACCGAAGCAACGCCGCGUGAACGAAGAAGUAUUUCGGUAUGUAAAGUUCUUUUAUUUGGGAAGAAAAGAUUAGAUUGACUGUACCAAAUGAAUAAGCUCCGGCUAACUACGUGCCAGCAGCCGC